rnacentral:rRNA from 1 species
GACGAACGCUGGCGGCGUGCUUAACACAUGCAAGUCGAACGAUGAAGCCCUUUCGGGGGUGAUUAGUGGCGAACGGGUGAGUAACACGUGGGUAACCUGCCCUGUACCCUGGGAUAAGCCUUGGAAACGAGGUCUAAUACCGGAUAUGACCUGCUCUCGCAUGGGGGUGGGUGGAAAGUUUUGGCGGUGCAGGAUGGACCCGCGGCCUAUCAGCUUUGGUUGGUGGGGUGAUGGCCUACCAAGGCGACGACGGGUAGCCGGCCUGAGAGGCGACCGGCCACACUGGGACUGAGACACGGCCCAGACUCCUACGGGAGGCAGCAGUGGGGAAUAUUGCACAAUGGGCGAAAGCCUGAUGCAGCACGCCGCGUGACGGGAUGACGGCCUCGGGUU